UAGGAAUUUUGCGCAAUGGGCGAAAGCCUGACGCAGCAACGCCGCGUGAGGGAUGAAGGCCUUCGGGUUGUAAACCUCUUUUAGCUGGGAAGAAAAAAAUGACGGUACCAGCAGAAAAAGCACCGGCUAACUCUGUGCCAGCAGCCGCGGUAAUACAGAGGGUGCAAGCGUUAUUCGGAUUUAUUGGGCGUAAAGCGCAUGUAGGUGGUUCGUUAAGUCUGAUGUGAAAUCCCUGGACUCAAUUCAGGAAGUGCAUUGGAUACUGGCGGGCUAGAGUACAGGAGAGGAAGGCGGAAUUCCAGGAGUAGAGGUGAAAUUCGUAGAUAUCUGGAGGAACAACAGUGGCGAAGGCGGCCUUCUGGACUGUAACUGACACUAAGAUGCGAAAGCGUGGGGAGCAAAC
rnacentral:rRNA from 1 species